rnacentral:rRNA from 1 species
GAUGAACGCUGGCGGCGUGCCUAAUACAUGCAAGUCGAACGCGCAGCGAAAGGUGCUUGCACCUUUCAAGCGAGUGGCGAACGGGUGAGUAACACGUGGAUAACCUGCCUCAAGGCUGGGGAUAACAUUUGGAAACAGAUGCUAAUACCGAAUAAAACUUAGUAUCGCAUGAUACAAAGUUAAAAGGCGCUACGGCGUCAACUAUAGAUGGAUCAGCGGUGCAUUAGUUAGUUGGUGGGGUAAAGGCUUACCAAGACGAUGAUGCAUAGCCGAGUUGAGAGACUGAUCGGCCACAUUGGGACUGAGACACGGCCCAAACUCCUACGGGAGGCUGCAGUAGGGAAUCUUCCACAAUGGGCGCAAGCCUGAUGGAGCAACGCCGCGUGUGUGAUGAAGGCUUUCGGGUCGUAAAGCACUGUUGUAUGGGAAGAAAUGCUAAAAUAGGGAAUGAUUUUAGUUUGACGGUACCAUACCAGAAAGGGACGGCUAAAUACGUGCCAGCAGCCGCGGUAA